GACAGAGGGUGCAAACGUUGCUCGGAAUCACUGGGCGUAAAGGGCGUGUAGGCGGGAAGGAAAGUCGAACGUGAAAUCCCCGGGCUCAACCCGGGAACUGCGUCCGAUACUGGAAGGCUUGAAUCCGGGAGAGGGAUGCGGAAUUCCUGGUGUAGCGGUGAAAUGCGCAGAUAUCAGGAGGAACACCGGUGGCGAAGGCGGAUCUCUGGGCCUUACCUGACGCUGGAGGCGACGAAAGCUACGGGGAGCGAACAGG
rnacentral:rRNA from 1 species